UACAGAGGAUGCAAGCGUUAUCCGGAAUGAUUGGGCGUAAAGCGUCUGUAGGUGGCUUUUUAAGUCCGCCGUCAAAUCCCAGGGCUCAACUCUGGACAGGCGGUGGAAACUACCAAGCUGGAGUACGGUAGGGGCAGAGGGAAUUUCCGGUGGAGCGGUGAAAUUCGUAGAUAUUCGCAAGAACACCAGUGGCGAAGGCGGCUCACUGGCCCGGUACUGACGCUGAGGCGCGAAAGCGUGGGGAGCAAACAGG
rnacentral:rRNA from 1 species